UUCGCCGUAGCUAGCUCUCUGCAAUUCUCACAUUGUCUCCCACUGAAGCUAAGCAGGGAUGUGUGCGGUUAAUACCUGGAUGGGAGAUCAUAUGGGAAAGCUAGGUUGCUGCCGGAA
rnacentral:rRNA from 1 species